UACGUAGGGGGCGAGCGUUGUCCGGAUUUAUUGGGCGUAAAGAGCGUGUAGGCGGCCAGGUAGGUCCGUUGUGAAAACUCGAGGCUCAACCUCGAGACGUCGAUGGAAACCAUCUGGCUAGAGUCCGGAAGAGGAGAAUGGAAUUCCUGGUGUAGCGGUGAAAUGCGCAGAUAUCAGGAAGAACACCGAUGGCGAAGGCAGUUCUCUGGGACGGUACUGACGCUGAGACGCGAAAGCGUGGGGAGCGAACAGG
rnacentral:rRNA from 1 species